UGCCGGGGAGCAACGGGGUCCUUGCGAGGGUCCAAUGAGAGUACCCGGAGAAAAAGCAUCGGCUAACUCCGUGCCAGCAGCCGCGGUAAUACGGAGGAUGCGAGCGUUAUCCGGAUUUAUUGGGUUUAAAGGGUGCGUAGGCGGGCUGUUAAGUCAGCGGUCAAAUGUCGGGGCUCAACCCCGGCCUGCCGUUGAAACUGGUGGCCUCGAGUGGGCGAGAAGUAUGCGGAAUGCGUGGUGUAGCGGUGAAAUGCAUAGAUAUCACGCAGAACUCCGAUUGCGAAGGCAGCAUACCGGCGCCCGACUGACGCUGAGGCACGAAAGCGUGGGUACCGAACAGGAUUAGAUACCCUGGUAGUCCACGCAGUAAACGAUGAAUGCUAGCUGUCCGGGGCUUCGGUCCUGG
rnacentral:rRNA from 1 species